rnacentral:rRNA from 1 species
AUUGAACGCUGGCGGCAUGCUUUACACAUGCAAGUCGAACGGCAACGAGGAGAAGCUUGCUUCUCUGUCGGCGAGUGGCGAACGGGUGAGUAUAGCAUCGGAACGUGCCAAGUAGUGGGGGAUAACCAAACGAAAGUUUGGCUAAUACCGCGUAAGCUCCAAGGAGGAAAGUAGGGGACCUAAAUAAGGCCUUACGCUAUUUGAUCGGCCGAUGUCGGAUUAGCUAGUUGGUGGGGUAAUGGCUCACCAAGGCAGUGAUCCGUAGCGGGUCUGAGAGGACGAACCGCCACACUGGGACUGAGACACGGCACAGACUCCUACGGGAGGCAGAAGUGGGGAAUUUUGGACAAUGGGGGGAACCCUGAUCCAGCCAUGCAGCGUGUAUGAAGAAGGCCUUAGGGUUGUAAAGUACUUUUGUUAGGGAAGAAAAGCUAGUUUAUAAUAAAAAUUAGUGAUGACGGUACCUAAAGAAUAAGCACCGGCUAACUACGUG